GAUUUCCUGGUGGGUAGUUUCGGG
rnacentral:piRNA from 1 species